rnacentral:rRNA from 1 species
AGGCUGAAGACUUACCCGAUUAGCUGAGAGGUGGUGCAUGGCCGUCGUCAGUUCGUACUGUGAAGCAUCCUGUUAAGUCAGGCAACGAGCGAGACCCACGUCCACAGUUGCCAGCAUACCCUCCGGGGUGAUGGGUACACUGUGGAGACCGCCGCUGCUAAAGCGGAGGAAGGAGUGGGCAACGGUAGGUCAGUAUGCCCCGAAUCUCCCGGGCUACACGCGGGCUACAAUGGUUGGUACAAUGGGCAUCUACCCCGAAAGGGGAAGGAAAUCUCUUAAAGCCAAUCGUAGUUCGGAUUGAGGGCUGCAACUCGCCCUCAUGAAGCUGGAAUCCGUAGUAAUCGCGUUUCAACAGAACGCGGUGAAUACGUCCCUGCUCCUU